rnacentral:rRNA from 1 species
AUUGAACGCUGGCGGCAGGCCUAACACAUGCAAGUCGAACGAGUGGCGGACGGGUGAGUAAUGUCUGGGAAACUGCCCGAUGGCGGGGGAUAACUACUGGAAACGGUAGCUAAUACCGCAUACCAUCGGAUUUGCCCAGAUGGGAUUAGCCAGUAGGUGGGGUAACGGCUCACCUAGGCGACGAGCCCUAGCUGGUCGGAGAGGAUGACCAGCCACACUGGAACUGAGACACGGUCCGGACUCCUACGGGAGGCAGCAGUGGGGAAUAUUGCACAAUGGGCGAAAGCCUGAUGCAGCCAUGCCGCGUGUAUGAAGAAGGCCUUCGGGUUGUAAAGUACUUUCAGCGAGGAGGCGUUACUCGCACAAGAAGCAACGGCUAACUCCGUGCCAGCAGCCGCGGUAAUAC